UACGUAGGUGGCAAGCGUUGUCCGGAUUUACUGGGCGUAAAGAGCGCGCAGGCGGUCGAUCAAGUCGCGUGUGAAAGCCCCCGGCUCAACUGGGGAGGGUCACGCGAUACUGAUCGACUCGAAGGCAGGAGAGGGUAGUGGAAUUCCCGGUGUAGUGGUGAAAUGCGUAGAUAUCGGAAGGAACAUCAGUGGCGAAAGCGGCUUCUGGACCAGCACCGACGUCAGGCACGAAAGCGUGGGGAGCAAACAGG
rnacentral:rRNA from 1 species